AUCGGGGCGCCAGCUUCGAUGGAGUCAACCUUGGGAUACCACCCUUGUGGUACUGAAGUUCUAACCAGAGGCCGUGAAUCCGGUCUUGGGACACUGUCAGUUGGGCAGUUUGACUGGGGCGGUCGCCUCCUAAAGAGUAACGGAGGCGCUCAAAGGUUCCCUCAGCACGGUCGGAAAUCGUGCGAAGAGUGUAAAGGCAGAAGGGAGCUUGACUGCGAGACAAACAAGUCGAGCAGGAACGAAAGUUGGACUUAGUGAUCCGGUGGUACCGAGUGGAAGGGCCAUCGCUCAACGGAUAAAAGCUACCCCGGGGAUAACAGGCUUAUCUCCCCCAAGAGUCCACAUCGACGGGGAGGUUUGGCACCUCGAUGUCGGCUCGUCUCAUCCUGGGGCUGAAGUAGGUCCCAAGGGUUGGGCUGUUCGCCCAUUAAAGAGGCACGCGAGCUGGGUUCAGAACGUCGUGAGACAGUUCGGUCCCUAUCCGCCGUGGGCGUAGGAAAUUUGAGAGGAGCUGUCCCUAGUACGAGAGGACCGGGAUGGACAGACCGCUGGUGCACCAGUUGUUCCGCCAGGGGCACAGCUGGGUAGCCAAGUCUGGAAGGGAUAAGCGCUGAAGGCAUCUAAGCGCGAAGCCCCCCUCAAGAUAAGAUUUCCCAUCCGCAAGGAGUAAGACCCCAGAAAGACUAUCUGGUAGAUAGGCCUGAGGUGUAAGGGCAGUAAUGCCUUUAGCUGACAGGUACUAAUAGGUCGAGGGCUUGACCAG
rnacentral:ncRNA from 1 species